CACGAACUGUGCAAACGUUAUUCGGAAUUACUGGGCUUAAAGAGUUCGUAGGCGGCGCGUUAAGUCGGGUGUGAAGUCCCUCGGCUCAACCGAGGAAUUGCGCCCGAAACUGGCGUGCUUGAGUAAGAUAGAGGUGAGCGGAACUGAUGGUGGAGCGGUGAAAUGCGUUGAUAUCAUCAGGAACACCGGUGGCGAAAGCGGCUCACUGGGUCUUAACUGACGCUGAGGAACGAAAGCUAGGGGAGCGAACGGG
rnacentral:rRNA from 1 species